CACCACAAGCUGGUGAAGCUGCCAGCAUGAUCUGAUGACCUAACUCAUGGAUCAGAAUCCAUGUCAAUCAGGUCAUGCUGGAGUUUCAUCUGCUGGUCGG
rnacentral:pre_miRNA from 2 species